rnacentral:snRNA from 1 species
AGAACUGGCGAUGCGGGA